CCAAAUCAAGACCAGUAAAUUCGGUCAUAUGACGGUAAGUGUUGGAGUCUUCGGCACGAAACACAGGUCCAAUUUCAAAAACACGCUCACGAUCAGCAGCAAUAAGCAUUUGCUUGUAAAGCUGGGGGGAUUGGGACAAAAAUCCAUCUGUUUUAAAGUAUUGAAUUUUAAAAACAUUUGAGCCACCUUCACUAGAAGCUCCACUCAUCUUGGGCGUAUGAAUCUCGUUAAAGCUAUUAGAUAACAAAAAUUCACGGAAAGCUUGGCAAAUACCGGCUUGAAUGUCAAAAAUGGCUUGGUUGGUAGGAGUACGAAGAUCAAGUACACGAUUGUCCAAACGUGUAUCAAGAUUGACACGAACAAAUUUGGAAUCUCCCUCAGCAGCAUUUUCUUCAGAUUCUCUGAUUUGCUCUUCAGAACGGCCAGCAUCUUCAACAAGAAAAGGAAGGUUCUUUUUAAUGGGAGAAAUGACAUAGAUAGAGCUAAUGUGAAUUUCAGCAUCCUGAACAGUAGCACUCUUGAUGAUUUCGGGACUCUUCUUGACGAUACCUUCGACAAGAACGAUCGAUUCCAAACUGAUACUGCCACACCACUUCACCAUUUGCUUGCUAAUAGUAUCCUUGUUGACGACAGCCAAGGCUUGAAUAGUGUCGUAUUUCUGUCUCAAAGAAAAGAAGCACAUCUUGUUACCCUGUAAACGAGAAGUGUAAACUCUAGCUCUGAGCAAAACAGUUUGCCCAUCGUUUUUAGCAGAAAUGUCGGAAAUUUGAGUAUAUGUACGACCAGGCCUAGCAGUAGAUCUGUUUAAAGGUAAAUCACCGUAUUUUCCAGCAGAGUAGUCAAUUUCGUUGGCUUCACGCUUCUUCUUCUCCUCGGCCUCACGAGCCUCUCUUUCUUUUCUCUUUUGUUCCUUCUCACGUUCUUUUUCAAGUUUCUUCAAAGCCUUUUUGGAAAGAGGUUUUCCAUCCUCACUACAAAUGUGAUGGUUAGUGAUAAUUUUUAAUGAUAGCAUUCUGCACUAGCACAUACCCAAGAAUAACCUCUUUUGGCUUUUCGUUCUUAGCCUCUAAAGAAAGAUUUUCUACCUGUUUUUCCAUCUCAGACAUCCUGAGUAAAAUUGGCGAACGGUAUGUUUUGAUAAAUUAGCGCAGCUCAAUCUAUAUGCGCGAGAAAUCAAAACUACUGAUGCUGAGUUGUAACGCUGCAUACCUUAUUGAUGGUAUAAUGCAAUACAAUGAUUGCUAAAGUAAUUUUUUUACGAUACGGUUUUUUAGAAUAUCAAGAGCCUUCAAUAUCAUUAUGUGGUUAAGGAAAAUGAGCAAUAGUACGUUAUAAGUUGAGCUUACUCAAAUGAUUAGAAUGGCAUUUUCCAAGCCUUCGUGAGUCAAAGAAGAUUCCCUUUUUUACAAUACUCGUAUUGAGCUAAAAACUUAGAAUCUCUGUGUAAAUAAUAAUUCAAAAAAUCUUUUUCAUUACUUUCAAAUACCGUGUUUCACUGAGUAGAACAGUCGUGACUACGAUGUUUAUAUGGUUUCGAGAAGUCAGUAUCAGCCUUCUAAUGAUUCGACAAAGAAAGGUCAAUGGGUAUGCAAAUUUUUAAAUUUAUACCUUUUCAUAUGUACUCGGAGACAGACCACCGACGCUAAUUCAGAAUUUCCGACGUUUUUAAGCUCAUUUGUAGUU